AGUGAACGCUGGCGGCAUGCCUAACACAUGCAAGUCGAACGAGACCUUCGGGUCUAGUGGCGCACGGGUGCGUAACGCGUGGGAACCUGCCCUUAGGUUCGGAAUAACUCCCCGAAAGGGGUGCUAAUACCGGAUAAUGUCUUCGGACCAAAGAUUUAUCGCCUUUGGAUGGGCCCGCGUUGGAUUAGCUAGUUGGUAGGGUAAAAGCCUACCAAGGCGACGAUCCAUAGCUGGUCUGAGAGGAUGAUCAGCCACACUGGGACUGAGACACGGCCCAGACUCCUACGGGAGGCAGCAGUGGGGAAUAUUGGACAAUGGGCGAAAGCCUGAUCCAGCAAUGCCGCGUGAGUGAUGAAGGCCUUAGGGUUGUAAAGCUCUUUUACCCGGGAUGAUAAUGACAGUACCGGGAGAAUAAGCUCCGGCUAACUCCGUG
rnacentral:rRNA from 1 species